ensembl:lncRNA
GUAAGUUUUGCUUGUUUGGCAUGCAUUGUUCUUAAGCAUGCAUUAAAUAGAAAAACAAACAGUAAAUGUCAAUAAGAUUCAUAUUAAUUUAUUUUCUGUACUAUUUAUAGAAAACUCAUAUCAUUGACUUGUAAUAUUGUUGAUUAAGGCCAUGACCAGUGACAAUAAUAGCCAUGAAGGUUUGAAAUUUUAUAUCCCGUCUAAAAUUGCUUUAUUAUCUGUGACAGGAUGGAAGAGAAGAACUUCUGAAAUUCCUCAUCAGGACUAAUGAGAAGACGAGUGUGCUAAACAGAGAGCUGUUCAACUCCAAGGCUUUUAUCUGCGCUUCACUGUUCUGCUUUAAUCAGUGCAGUGACUCAGGGCCGUAUCAGAUUGACUGCAGGCCUAGAAAGUAAACAUGUUGUAAAGCUAUUUUUGUUGCUUAAUUUACUCUGCUUUUCCCUGGUGUUCUCAUGGUUUGGAUGUGAUAUUCUCGCCCCUGAGACCUGGGUCCCAUUCUAGGUCAGAAUAUGUGCUUUUACUGUUUUUUUUUUUCUUCAGUAUAGUCCCAGAUGGCAAUAGUGAUUCUGUGAGGGCUAAAUUCAGUGUUUCCAAUGCACAAGGAUAAUAAAUAUUAAAAGGUCAUUAAAGGUUUUUUUGGGGAUGACUCAGUCCCAGCGAUCUCAGUCAACCACAUUUCUACAUCUUAAUACUCAAUUCCAGAUGGAUUAAAUCAAGUCUCUUUAAAUAUCCUUUAUUUCAUCGAAUUCAUUUGAAAAUACACAAGGUUGCUGUUAAAAUUUGGAUUGUGAUCUGCUUUUCAUGUUUAGCACAAGGAAUCAUUUUGAAGUGAAGUUUGUGUGUGUGUGUGUGUAAUUGCAUUUUUGCGGCGGUCAAUACAUCACUUGACCUCGUUAUCUCUUUGCAUAUCAUUAAGAAAGAUUAAUUGCAUCUUUUAUUCUUUCUCUUCUGCUCUUUCCAUUCCCACUUAGAAUAAAACAGAGAUUAUAUUUGACCUUAAAGAUUUCAAACUUGCUAAAUUUUACAAGUGUUUAAUACAGUGUUACAUUCAGUUUCUGGAGGUGAAAAAAUCCCUUUCAUUUUCUUCUCAUAUCUUUUUUUUUUUUUUUUUUUUUUGUUUCAGAUAAAAUGUGGUUAAUCUCAGGUUGGUUGGAUUUGAGCUCUUGAAG